rnacentral:rRNA from 1 species
UGGGUGAUCUGCCCUGCACUUUGGGAUAAGCCUGGGAAACUGGGUCUAAUACCGGAUAUACCCUGCUGGUCGCAUGGCCUGGUGGGGGAAAGCUUUUGCGGUGUGGGAUGGGCCCGCGGCCUAUCAGCUUGUUGGUGGGGUGAUGGCCUACCAAGGCGACGACGGGUAGCCGGCCUGAGAGGGUGUCCGGCCACACUGGGACUGAGAUACGGCCCAGACCUCCGUACGGGGAGGCA